CGGCAGCACGAGACUCCGCAAACUAGUCUGUAAGCAAAGCAGACGAAGGCAUCGAGGUUGCGGCCUGCCAUCAUUGUUAUUUUGCUUAAGGGACUGAAUAUGUUUCAUGUAGAAAUAUUAGCAUUUCCCUUAUAUCUACCAAAACUGCUUGUUUCACAGACUGCAGUUUUGUUUUGAUCCGAUGUGGUGUGCAAAUACAACCGUAUCUGCAAUGGGUUGUGGGGCAUUAACAUUUGUAACUCUAAUUUUGUUUUGACAGACUGUGAAAAGAACGUUGAGAACAUCACCACUCUACAGGAAGACACAGUCCAGUAAUGGGUGUCAGAAGUUCAGUAGUGAACGACAGGUACUGUGGAAAAAUAUGUGUCAUUGUUGUACAAUGUCCUUUGACUCUGUUUAAACAAGGUCAACACAAAAAGGUUUGAUUGUAAACUGAUAUCGGUACGAAUUCAUGUUAUUCUCCUCGUCAAAAGAAACAAACAAUCCAAAUUACCUGCAGAAAGCCCUUGAUGGACGCUUCAGCUGCAUCGUCAGACUGGCAGUACUGAUGCAUUUACUGAGAGGGGACGUGAGGGCCUACUCUGCGUGCUCAGAGUUCAAGCCCAGCAGGCUGCAGCGGGCCUGACAUAUUCUGGAACAGCAGCACAGUCUUUGGAUGACUCCUCUGAAGAUGAAAACAUGGCGAGUUCUUCUCAAGAGAAGCAGUACAGGUGUGCCUCAGCUCCACGGUCCCUCCUGCAGCCUCCGCUCCUGAUGCUAACCUCAUGUCUCCAUCACACCAAGCAGCAGACCUGGAUUGACAGACCUUUCUCCAGAGCUGCCCCCUCCCUCUGAAACCCCCCUCUCCAAAACACUAUUUGUGUAGUUUUUAAAGUAUUUUUUGCAUGAGAAUUGUUGAUCAUAACAUUUCCAGCAGAUGCCUUAAUAUAAUGUUUGUGCACAAUAAAUUACAUUGAUCAUAACAUAA